UUGCACGCUGGCGGCCGGCCUCACCCAUGCAAGUCGCACGGUAACAGGAAGCAGCUUGCUGCUUCGCUGACGAGUGGCGGACGGGUGAGUAAUGUCUGGGAAGCUGCCUGAUGGAGGGGGAUAACUACUGGAAACGGUAGCUAAUACCGCAUAAUGUCGCAAGACCAAAGAGGGGGACCUUCGGGCCUCUUGCCAUCGGAUGUGCCCAGAUGGGAUUAGCUUGUUGGUGGGGUAACGGCUCACCAAGGCGACGAUCCCUAGCUGGUCUGAGAGGAUGACCAGCCACACUGGAACUGAGACACGGUCCAGACUCCUACGGGAGGCAGCAGUGGGGAAUAUUGCACAAUGGGCGCAAGCCUGAUGCAGCCAUGCCGCGUGUAUGAAGAAGGCCUUCGGGUUGUAAAGUACUUUCAGCGGGGAGGAAGGGAGUAAAGUUAAUACCUUUGCUCAUUGACGUUACCCGCAGAAGAAGCACCGGCUAACUCCGUG
rnacentral:rRNA from 1 species